GUGCUUGCUUUGGCAGCACAUAUGUUAAAAUUGGAGCCAUAUAGAGAUUAGCGUGGCCCUUGCACAAGGAUGACACACAAAUUCGUGAAGUGUUCCAUAUUUUG